GCCGACGUGGCGGAAUUGGUAGACGCACCGGACUUAAAAUCCGUUGGUCAUUGCGACCGUGGGGGUUCAAGUCCCCCCGUCGGCA
rnacentral:tRNA from 1 species